GUGCCAGCCGCCGCGGUAAUACAGAGGGUGCGAGCGUUGUUCGGAAUUAUUGGGCGUAAAGGGCGCGUAGGCGGCGCGGUAAGUCACCUGUGAAAUCUCCCGGCUCAACUGGGAGCUUGCAGGCGAAACUGCCGUGCUCGAGUAUGGGAGAGGUGCGUGGAAUUCCUUGUGUAGCGGUGAAAUGCGUAGAUAUCAGGAGGAACACCUGUGGCGAAAGCGUCGCACUGGACCAUAACUGACGCUGAGGCGCGAAAGCUAGGGGAGCAAACAGGAUUAGAUACCCGAGUAGUCC
rnacentral:rRNA from 1 species